rnacentral:rRNA from 1 species
GUGUCAGCAGCCGCGGUAAUACGGAAGGGGCAAGCGUUGUUCGGAAUCAUUGGGCGUAAAGGGCGCGUAGGUGGUCCUAUGUGUCUACUGUGAAAGCACACGGCUCAACCGUGUCGGGUCGGUAGAAACUGUAGGACUUGAGGCUGGGAGGGGCUGGUGGAAUUCCCUGUGUAGCGGUGAAAUGCGUAGAGAUGGGGGAGAACACUCGUGGCGAAGGCGGCCAGCUGGACCAGUCCUGACACUGAGGCGCGACAGCAUGGGGAGCAAACAGGAUUAGAAACCCCUGUAGUCC